rnacentral:rRNA from 1 species
GAGUGUGAUUAUAUCAGCAUUAAAAUACUGGAUCCUAUUAGAACUCUAAAGUUUAGCAUGCUUUGGCUAGAGUAGUAUUAGGAUGGGUGACCCCUUGGGAAGUCCUUGUGUUACACUCA